CACACCGCCCGUCGCUACUACCGAUUGAAUGGCUCAGUGAGGCCUUCGGACUGGCUCGGGGAGGUUGGCAACGACCACCCCGAGCCGGAAAGUUCGUCAAACUCGGUCAUUUAGAGGAAGUAAAAGUCGUAACAAGGUUUCCGUAGGUGAACCUGCGGAAGGAUCAUUAA
rnacentral:rRNA from 1 species